CAGUCGCCGCGGUAAUACAGAGGGUGCGAGCGUUAAUCGGAUUUACUGGGCGUAAAGCGUGCGUAGGCGGCUUUUUAAGUCGGAUGUGAAAUCCCUGAGCUUAACUUAGGAAUUGCAUUCGAUACUGGGAAGCUAAAGUAUGGGAGAGGAUGGUAGAAUUCCAGGUGUAGCGGUGAAAUGCGUAGAGAUCUGGAGGAAUACCGAUGGCGAAGGCAGCCAUCUGGCCUAAUACUGACGCUGAGGUACGAAAGCAUGGGGAGCAAACAGGAUUAGAUACCCGAGUAGUCCCUGUCUCUUAUAA
rnacentral:rRNA from 1 species